rnacentral:ncRNA from 3 species
CCGCAUAAAUACGUCUCAUUUCGUAUAUCCUGGACGAUAGGGUCUAGGGUUUCUACCGGAAACCGUAAAUUUCUAGCUACGAAAAAAAUAUGCCCCUCG